rnacentral:tRNA from 1 species
AAAUAAGAAACAAAAAUUUGUAUUUAGUUUCGACCUAAAAAUUUGGUGAUAAUCACCCUUAUUUA